CUAAGGAUCUGGCCUGCUCUCAGCCAUACUGAUAGUGUAGAGGUCAUUUGGGCUAUGAGACACCUCUGGUUCUAGUUGUAAGAGCUUGGGGCACCUCUGGCUAUAACAGUCACUUAGAUUACUAGCCACCUCUGGUCCUGAUUGUAGGAGCUUGAUAUGGCCUGAUCCAAUAUAUAAGCUGAUCACCAAGCUCUCAAUCACUUCUAAUUCUCAUCUUUCUGGAUGGAAGAAUAGGUUUUUCAUCUUUCCCAUCGGAAAGACAACCCUGUGGCUUAACAUUCAUGGUUUCUCUGGAGAUCUGUGAGUACAAGGACCUUGUGAUAUGCAUCCAACAAGUUGCCUAAUCAAGCCAUCAUUGUACCAGUAAGAAGAUCUUGGCUAACACAUUGGUAUUUUGGAGUGCUAGGUCCAUUGUUAUCUUUUUGACAAGGAAAUGAUACCCAUGAACUCACAGCAGUAUGGUUGCUUGAAGACUUUCAUCAGUUGAUGUGACAAAGUGAAUGGAGUACAUCCCACAAGGUUGCACUCCUAGGUGAAGAGCUACACCUUGUCAGUUGAUGCGGAGUGAGGAAGAAUCGGUCUUUUUAGGGACACAGUUCUGUAUGGUUUAGUCAAUCUGAAGUGGUCAGUCCUGGACAUCCAUACAUAUGAGUGAUUCUAAGUGUAACAAUAAUAAUUAGAAGAAGAGAUCAUGAAGAGGAGGAGAUGGAAGAGUGGGGAACAGUGUGGGUGAUAAAGAUAUAAUACUCAUAUGCAAUGUUUUUAAAACUUUUUUUAAAAGGCCAUUGAUUUCUUUUUCUUCCUAGGAAACCUGUAUAGCACCUUCUGUCACUAUGGAAACUAGCCACCAGGGAAGAGGUUUCCUGAUCUAUUUAUGAUGUCUCCACAUCCCACAGCCAAAGUGUACUGCUAUCUCCAUCAAUAGGGUCUUCCUAUGUAGUGAUGGUGGCAAAGAAGAGGAAUGGCAAUAGCCUGAGUAAUUUUCAAGUCCUCUAGAGCUUCCCUGACCAAUAAUGGAUAGGGAGGUCUCCUAUACCUUGUACUGUGGUUUUUGUUUACUAACCACCCAUGCUUUGUAGAAGUAGCAUUAUUCAUGCAUGUGGAAUAGUUCUAUUGCAACUAUUUUUGAAAAGAAAAGUUAUAUUUUGAAAUUAGCCUAGAUAUUAGGGAAUUUCCACAAUACAUAUUCAUGAAUACUUAGUUUUGGUUAACCCACUCACUAUUCCUCCUCUGCCCAUCUCUCUGCCCCAGCUCUCAAUCCUUUAAUCCCUAACAUUUACUCCUCUUGUUUCGUAUUACAUAUAUGCAUUCUAAAAUUUCCCCAAUUAUACUUUUAAUUGGGUUGUGAGUCUGAGCUGUAGGCUUCCAUAUGGCUUUUCAUACAUCCUUACAAACUCUCAUGGCCCUCUUUUUUUCAAGUCUUUCUGGCCCAUCUCCCCAUAGUCCACCUCUCUAACUUUGCUUUACCUACAGUUUAUUGUCCUCCUUCUGUAACUAUAAUCCCUAACAGCCCCUUUCUAGUUUCUUGGCUUCUUUUUCUGUGCCAAGUCUAAUCCAUGAACAAAACAUUUGCAUCUGCUUUUUGAGCCCAAAUUACUCACUCAUUGUAAUUUUUUCUUAUCCCAUCCAUUUUCACGUUUUUGGUUUUCUUUACAAAUGCAUAAUACUUCCUUGUGUGUAUACUACAUUUCCCUUUUCUAUUUAGCUGUUGAUGGACAUCUAGGUUGAUUCCAUUUUCUAGUUGCUGUGUAUAGAGCCACAAUGAACAUGGAUGUGCAAAUGUCUCUAUAGUAGGAUAUAAAGUCUUUUUGGUAUAUAUCCCAGACUGUUAUAGCUAAGACAAUGAUAGGUAUGGUCCUAGUUCCUUUUUGAGAAAUCUCCAGGCUUACUUUCCAGACUAUACACAGUAUUUUAUACUCUUACCCACAUUUGUUAGUAUUGGUAUCAUUUCCUAUGCUACUGGAUCUUUAAUUGCGAUUGCUUUUCUUUGUUCCUGGGUCAGAUCUAGUCCACAUCCUGGGUCCACUGCUUCCUGAAUAUUGUGUUCUUUAACAAGUGUUAGGAGCGGGUGUGGCGGCAGUCCCAAAGGCGCCAGGGACUGUAGCUAAGUCGUAUGACUUGCACCUGACUUCCUCAUAUAAGCCACAAACAUCUUGAGAGCUGCGCAGGUGCACCAGGAUACCGGUGAAUCCAGUUUGAUGGAGAUAUGCCCCUGCUGCCCUGAUUAGCUGAAGCUUCGUGCCUGGUGAGGCGGUGUGGCCUGCUGUGCGUGGAUGAGAGUAUAAAAGGAGUGAGAGGUCCAGGGUUCGGGGGAGAUAUAAACAAGAAGAAUCAGGACUGAAUAAACUGCUGUUAGAAGGACUGGUGGUCGUGUCGUUCUUACUGGUCGAGAGCGGACGCGACAAACAAGGUAGAGAGAAUGGAUGAUAUGUAUCUGUCUCAGCAAGGGUUUCUAUGGUGGCUAUGAAACACUGUGACCAAAAAGCAACUUGGCAAGGAAAGGGUUUAUUUGGCUUACACUUCCCUAUCACUGUUUAUUAUUGAAG
rnacentral:lncRNA from 1 species